GGGGUUGUGGGGUAACCUGGCAGCCUACCGCCCUCGGGCGGCGGUGAUCCCGGUUCAAAUCCGGGCAACCCCA
rnacentral:tRNA from 1 species